ensembl:lncRNA
ACAUCGAGUCCUGGAUCUACAAAAAGCAGCUUUGCUGGCCCUGGAGUGAAUUAUCAUGCGUUCUGUUACCUCUGGAGAAGGUGACAAGUUGCUGUUAGUUUGUUGAAUUUUUCCUUAUUGAUGGUACCUCCAGGAAGUGCCCAGUUCUUAUCUACAGAGAUGCCCUUCAAGGAGACCUUUAUGGGUCACAUUUAUGGCUCCUACGGUCUGGUCAAUACAGCAUUCUCUGCACCCCGUGCACCCUGCUACAAGCCUGUUGCAGCUUGGUUUCUUGGCCACAAAGGCAUGGAGGUGUGCACAUUGCCCAUGGAUGAGGCACUGGAGAAGGACACAGUUCUCAGUCUUCAUUCUCCGGCUCUUCAGUGUGAUCUUAUGCAGCAUAACGUUUCCAACUGAAUAAUUUACAAGGCAAAAGCACUCCAAGUAUGAAAACAUUUGCAACGAUAUUAGACAGAAAGACAGUCUUCACUGGGCCACUGCAAGGUACCUUUGUUGAAGCCUAUUUCCCUAGGAAAGUACAUGCUCCAACAAAUAGCCACUUGGAAUGUAAAUCAGGCUAAGCAGCCCCAGCUCUCUCAGCCUGUCCUCAUAGGGAGCUGUUCCAUCCCUUGGAUCAUUUUUGUGGCCCUCCUCUGGAUGCACUCCAACAGCUCCAUGUCUCUCCUGUACUGAGGACUCCACAUCUGGAUGCAGCUCUCCAGGUUUUGACGGUAAGAGAGUAUUGAUUCCUUCAAGAAGAAUGUUAAUGGUCACAGUGCUACUCAUCAGGAAAAAUGAAUCUGUGAAAACUCCACUACCUACACAUUACACUUUUUGGUUACUGUACACUGCAAGCCUGUGGUUAGCCAAACUUAAAAUGUGAGCUGUUGAAUGUAUAUGUGCAGAGCAUGGGUCACAUUUUGGAGUCUGUCCAAGGAGUUCUCUCAGCUCUGGGAUCCAGGAAGGCUCUUCAGGCCUGGGUGUACAUCACAACCACAUCUUUCUCCAUAGUGGGACCCGUACCUUGCAUCCUAACAAGUCUUGGGCAACAGCGGCACCUCAGCUCACCUCAAGUCCCUGACUUGGGUGGCAGGCCUUAGCCCACUGUUCACUCUUAUUUCACAAUCUUAGGAAAUUAAGUCUGUUAAAAAAUCACUACUUCUUGUUGCCCAUGGGCCUGGUAUCAUUCUGUACAUCUGCUGGACUAAUGAAGGUAGACUUCAAACAGCUUGCCAACUUCCCUCCUUUACCACUGUUAACGUGUCAUUUUCAGAAUGUCAAAGGACGUGGGACAGACAAGAGAAAGCUGGGAUUGCAUGCGGACACUGUGCACACAUUUGCAUGAGUAGAAAAUCUCCCAAAUCACAGACUUUUCUGUCUAGAGGCAUGAUCCAUCCCUACUCUGAGAAAGGGGGAAUCUGAAAAGUGAGCAAAACCACCACUUACAAUUUGCCUAUAAGAGUGCUUAGAUAUUUCUUAAUGCACUGAGGAAUGCAAAUCAAUCCCCCCCAGAACAACUCUAUCCAUCCAACCAGGAUCCCAAUGCUGAAUGCAAGUGCUGAUGGACAUCUUUAGGGGCUUAAUUAUCCAAAGUGCUAGGAAACCACAAGUUCCAUGGUCACAGGUAUGCAACAGCUUUGAAGACUGAGCUACUUGUAUUUAAAAGCUUCAGCGGAGAUUUAGCAACUUAACUUCAUGAAACCAACUCUGUGGGUUUCAUUUGUAUUCCAAAGGCAAAUACUAUCCCAGUUUUGGGAAGAGACAAGGAGGACAGCAAGAUGCUGAAAGUGCCCUAAGCUGCAGUGGGUGAUGAGGACAUGCUGGGACCUCGUCUGCUUUGGUUGCUCUGUGGGAAUCAAGGGGUCACACUGGGAGACCACUGGGAGAAGGGGAAACCCAAUAUCGUCAUCAAAGAAAAGGGAAACAAGACAUCAGCAACAGUCCUGCAUCUGUGAGCAGGUCACAGCCAAGGUGCUCUGUUUCCCUCUACUGGUAAAACCUCAAGAUUUAUUUUUUUAUAUAUCACUAGAAUUCUGGGGUUUUUUUGCUGGAGGUUUUCUGCUGGAGGUGUCUGUGUGGCACUGUGUGCUGUGCGUGCCCAUGCAUUGUGUGCUGAACAGUGCCUGUGAGCAUAUCCAGGUUUCUUGUUUUCUUCCAAAUCUCCCUCAGCUCUCUCUCUCUUUGCUGAGCUCUGCCAUACAGCCAGCUCCGUUUCAUGCUGUUGACUUCAGCAGAGUUGGGCAUGAAUCUAAAUUAUUAAGAAAUAUUUCAAGGUGAUUUAUGCAUGUUUGGGAAGGUGUCAUUGAUUUCUCAGCAUGAAAGCAAUGCCGCAACACUAACACUACUCUUCGGCAGUCUAACACUUUUUUUAAAGAACUGCUGCUAUUUGGUUGUGUUCAAAAGACAGAACAGAGAUUCUGUUGUAGGAAAGUCUCAAGAUUACGAGCUGGUAAGAAGAUGAGGUAAUUGUACACAUGGCACUGAAUGCACUAUCUAGAUAUUUGAAUUGCUCAGUCAGACCACACGGCCCACAGCCAGCUCCAGUAAGACCUCAUGCACGAUCCUCUGCUUCCCAUUGCCAAAGAAAACAUCAGUGUUCACAACCAUUAGAGGACUUUAGAAGUAAGCAAAAUUAAUUUAGGAAGGAGCUUUCUGAGCUUUCACAGGCACCAUCUUAUAGAGACAUGGGUCUCCUUCCAGCUUACAGUCUUUCACUAUCUUGGGGUCUUUCAGGGCGUUUCUUCCUUUCCACGUGACAUCCCCAACAGCAGAGGUUUCCCAUGUCCUGCUACCAGGGUUAGCAUUUUACACUGGGAAUGCAUUUGAGUUUUUCCACAUGUGAUAAAAACAAAUGGCGAAUUUCAUCUCUAGGAGAAAUAAGUGACUGUUACACUUACCUGCAAGUGAUUUUCUUGGAAAGUCCAGUCGUUCAUGCUCACAUACUUCAGUUUAACACGACUGUUAGAUUAAUUGAGCUAUUCAGCAUGUCUGGUCACAAAGUAUGUCGUAACUAAUUUCAGAAAGCCCUGGGCAGGCUGGCAGGGCCUAGGAGUGCAACCAGAGGUAUUGCCAUACAGACUGUUGGGUCUCACAGCGAGUUGACAUUGAAAUUAAUUUACCAUUGAAGAAAGUGAUGGGAUGUGAGGAAACAGAAUGCUUUUGGACAUAUUGCUCUGCUUCUGUUGCUCUCAACACUCCGCUUUUUGAAUACAUGUGUACUCUGUAAACGUAGUCAAGAAAACACAUGCUUCAUUGAAACCCUCAAACC